AAAAUGAUACUUGUAUUUCCCCUACCCCUUUGUCAACUGCUGUGAAUGCUGUAUGGUGUGUGUUCUCUUCUGUUACUGAUAUGUAAGUGUGGUAAUGUGAACUGAAGCUGAUGGGUUGAGAACAUGGACUGAGCUUGUGGUGUGCUUUGCAGGAGUACUUGGAAGCAGAGUUCACCAGUGAGCUCAGGUGUCUCAAAGAAGGGUGGAAGUUCUAAUGUCUGUUAGCUACCCAUAAGAAUGCUGUUUGCUGCAGUUCUGUGUCCUGUGCUUGGAUGCUUUUUAUAAGAGUUGUCAAUGUUUGAAAUUCUUAAAUAAAACUGAUUUAAAUAAUAUGUGUCUUUGUUUUGCAGCCCUGAAUGCAAAGAAUUCAUAGCAGUUAAUUCCCCUUUUUUGACCCUUUUGAGAUGGAACUUUCAUAAAGUUUCUUGGCAGUAGUUUAUUUUGCUUCAAAUAAACUUAUUUGAAAAGUUAUCUCAAGUCAAAUGGAUUCAUCACCUGUCAUGCAUUGACACCUGAUACCCAGACUUAAUUGCUAUUUGUUCUUGCAUUGUCCAAAGUGAAAAGUUUUUUUUUUCUUUUAAAUCUAGUUUUUAAUAAGUCUGGGUGACCACACCUAAAAUGCACUUGCACUAUUACUCAGCAGCAGUAACAUGGUAACACUUAAAAUGGUACUCGGGGACCUCCAAAGACUAAACUGACAAGCCUUCAAGAAGCCCAGGGGUAAGUUAACUUGUCAAUGGCAUGGUUUUAAUACCUUAUUUACACUUGUAUGAGUCUAGUAACUGGUCAUAGAAGGCUUUAAAUGUUGAGUAGCCUUUUAUUAACAUGUUUAUGAUAUUACAUAGCUAUGGGUAUUUAUUCUCUUAAAAAAAUGAAGUUUAGAAGUACUUAAACUAUUUGGCAAAGAUUUGUUUUUUAAAAGUCUAUUUGGUCAUCUAAAUGCAUUCAUUCUAAAAAAUUUUUGAACCAGUUGAAUAAACAUUUUUGUUGCCACCACA